AACGCGAAGAACCUUACCCAGGUUUGACAUGCAGUGGACAGGUACAGAGAUGUACCCUCCCUUCGGGGCCGCUGCACAGGUGCUGCAUGGCUGUCGUCAGCUCGUGCCGUGAGGUGUUGGGUUAAGUCCCGCAACGAGCGCAACCCUUAUCAUUAGUUGCCAACAUUUAAGGUGGGAACUCUAAUGAGACUGCCCGGGUUAACCGGGAGGAAGGUGAGGAUGACGUCAAGUCCGCAUGGCCCUUAUAUCUGGGGCUACACACGUUCUACAAUGGCCGGUACAGAAGGAAGCCAAACCGCGAGGUGGAGCAAAUCCCAAAAGCCGGUCCCAGUUCAGAUUGUAGUCUGCAACUCGACUACAUGAAGUUGGAAUUGCUAGUAAUGGCGAGUCAGCUACAUCGCCGUGAAUACGUUCCCGGGCCUUGUACACACCGGUAUCUC
rnacentral:rRNA from 1 species